AUGAUGAAGAAAUAGAAAGGUAAAGACAAGUUAGAAGAGAAGAAGUUUGUUGCUCUAAAUAUUUCUAGCUUCAUGUCCUCAAAGUAUGAGCCUAGUGAGUAUGAAGAAAGGGAUGACAAGAUCUCUGAUGAUGAUGAUGUUGGGAUAUUUGUCAAUAGAUGCCAAAGGUAUAUUCGGAAGAAUAAGGUCAAGCACUUUGAAGGCAAAUUGGAAAAAAUUUAGAAGGGAGUCCAAAUCUUCAAAAGACGGUGAGAAUAGGAAAGGUAAAUUUAG
rnacentral:lncRNA from 1 species